UACGAAGGGGCUAGCGUUGCUCGGAAUCACUGGGCGUAAAGCGCACGUAGGCGGCUUUUUAAGUCAGAGGUGAAAUCCUGGAGCUCAACUCCAGAACUGCCUUUGAUACUGAGAGGCUUGAGUCCGGGAGAGGUGAGUGGAACUGCGAGUGUAGAGGUGAAAUUCGUAGAUAUUCGCAAGAACACCAGUGGCGAAGGCGGCUCACUGGCCCGGUACUGACGCUGAGGCGCGAAAGCGUGGGGAGCAAACAGGG
rnacentral:rRNA from 1 species